rnacentral:lncRNA from 1 species
GCAGUCUUCACGUCCCCAUGUUGCUGUUGUGGAUGUUGGGGUGCUUGAUGAUACAGCUUCGAAUGCUCUACACGUCCUUGGCUGAUCGUGAGCGGGGUUCUCGCAAUAAGUUUUGCUUGAGUGAGGGCCAAGGGCUUGGUGAACUAAGUUCCUAUAGGGUUCUUUCUUGCGCGUGUACACCUAGGUCGGAAUACGUGGCAAGGUAGCGUGUCUGGGUUGCUGGUCCUGGGGCUGCUCAUGCCGGUUAGUGACAUCUAGACGUCUCAUGUUAGAGCAUAAGGGUCAAGUCCUUUGCGUAAUUCCUGCUGACGGGGAAGUUCUUGACUCCCUUAAAGCACGCGAGCUAUGGUCGUAGAUGGUCUUCAUCGUCAAGUGUGUUGCACUGGGUCUUCGAAGGCUUCUCGUGAAAAGGUUUAGG